rnacentral:rRNA from 1 species
AUUGAACGCUGGCGGCAGGCCUAACACAUGCAAGUCAAGCGGAUGAGAGGAGCUUGCUCUUCGAUUCAGCGGCGGACGGGUGAGUAAUGCCUAGGAAUCUGCCUAGUAGUGGGGGACAACGUUUCGAAAGGAACGCUAAUACCGCAUACGUCCUACGGGAGAAAGUGGGGGAUCUUCGGACCUCACGCUAUUAGAUGAUCCUAGGUCGGAUUAGCUAGUUGGUAGGGUAACGGCCUCCCAAGGCGACGAUCCGUAACUGGUCUGAGAGGAUGAUCAGUCACACUGGAACUGAGACCCGGUCCAGACUCCUACGGGAGGCAGCCGUGGGGAAUAUUGGACAAUGGGCGAAAGCCUGAUCCAGCCAUGCCGCGUGUGUGAAGAAGGCCCUCGGGUCGUAAAGCACUUUAAGUUGGGAGGAAGGGCUUACAGCGAAUACCUGUGAGUUUUGACGUUACCGACAGAAUAAGCACCGGCUAACUUCGUGCCAGCAGCCGCCGUAA